AUUGAACGCUGGCGGCAGGCCUAACACAUGCAAGUCGAGCGAGCGGCGGACGGGUGAGUAAUGUCUGGGAACCUGCCUGUUGGCGGGGGAUAACUACUGGAAACGGUUGCUAAUACCGCAUACCAUCCGAUGUCCCCAGAUGGGAUUGGCUAGUCGGUGGGGUAAUGGCUCACCUAGGCGACGAUCCCUAGCUGGUCUGAGAGGUUGACCAGCCACACUGGAACUGAGACACGGUCCAGACUCCUACGGGAGGCAGCAGUGGGGAAUAUUGCACAAUGGGCGCAAGCCUGAUGCAGCCAUGCCGCGUGUGUGAAGAAGGCCUUCGGGUUGUAAAGCACUUUCAGCGGGGAGGCGUUACCCGCAGAAGAAGCACCGGCUAACUCCGUGCCAGCAGCCGCGGUAAUAC
rnacentral:rRNA from 1 species